ACAUCAGUGGCUCACUGGUAGAACUUCUGCUUCCCAUGCGGGAGGCCUGGGUUUGAUUCCUGGUCGGUGUA
rnacentral:tRNA from 1 species